rnacentral:rRNA from 1 species
CAAGGGGCGGGGGUAUUCCCAGUUUUUUCUUGACUCUUCAAAGGUCUGGGAAUAAGGGGUGGGUAAGGACGGUGCCAGCCGCCGCGGUAAUACCGGCGCCUCAAGUUGUAGUCGCUUUUAUUGGGCCUAAAACGUCCGUAGCCGGUCUGGUGCAUUCGUGGGUAAAUCAACCCGCUCAACGGGUUGAAUUCUGCGAGCACGGCCAGACUUGGGACCGGGAGAGGUGUGGGGUACUCUCAGGGUAGGGGUAAAAUCCUGUCAUCCUGAGAGGACCACCUGUUGCGAAGGCGCCACACUAGAACGGAUCCGACGGUCAGGGACGAAACCUAGGGGCACGAACCGGAUUAGAUACCCGGGUAGUCCUAGGUGUAAACGCUGUGGACUUGAUGUUGGGGGCGCUCCGAGCGCUCUCAGUGUCGAAGCGAAGGUGAUAAGUCCACUGCCUGGGGAGUACGGUCGCAAGGCUGAAACUUAAAGGAAUUGGCGGGGGAGCACUGCAACCUGAGGAUUGUGCGGUUUAAUUGGAUUCAACGCCGGAAAACUCACCAUAGCCGACGGACAAAUGAAGGCCAGCGUAACGAGCUUGCUGGAUUGUUCGAGAGGUAUUGCAUGGCCGUCGUCAGUUCGUACCGCAAGGCGUUCUGUUAAGUCAGAUAACGAACGAGACCCUCAUCCCUAUUUGCCAACCAGAUCCCCGGAUCUGACGCACUAUAGGGAGACCGCUGGCGCUAAGUCAGAGGAAGGCGAGGGCAACGGUAGGUCAGUAUGAUCCGAAUGCUAUGGGCUACACGCGCAAUACAAAGGACGGGACAAUGGGCUGCAACUCCGAGAGGUACGACGCUAUCCCGAAACCCGUUCGUAGUUCGGAUUGAGGGCUGUAACUCGCCCUCAUGAAGCUGGAUUAGGUAGUAAUCGCGUCUCAAUAGGGCGCGGUGAAUAUGCCCCUGCUCCUUGCACACACCGCCCGUCAAACCAUCUUAGUUGGGGGUGGGUGAGGCUACCUUAACCCAUGGGGUA